rnacentral:rRNA from 1 species
AUUGAACGCUGGCGGCAUGCCUUACACAUGCAAGUCGAACGGUAACGGGCCUUCGGGUGCCGACGAGUGGCGACCGCGUGAGUAAUACAUCGGAACGUGCCCGCUCGUUGUGGAUAACGAGGCGAAAGCUUUGCUAAUACCGCAUACGAUCUACUGAUUAAAGCAGGGUACCUCAAGACCUAACGCGGACGUAGCUGCCGCUGGCAGAUUAGGUAGUUGGUGGGUUAAAAGCUUACCAAGCCGACGAUCUGUAGCUGGUCUGAGAGGAUGAUCAGCCACACUGGGACUGAGACACGGCCCAGACUCCUACGGGAGGCAGCAGUGGGGAAUUUUGGACAAUGGGCGAAAGCCUGAUCCAGCCAUGCCGCGUGCAGGAUGAAGGCCUUCGGGUUGUAAACUGCUUUUGUAAGGAACGAAAAGCCUUCUUUUAAUACAGGAGGGUCAUGACGGUACCGUAAGAAUAAGCACCGGCUAACUACGUG